rnacentral:rRNA from 1 species
UCGAGAAUCUUUCGCAAUGCCCGAAAGGGUGACGAAGCGACGCCGCGUGCGGGAGGAAGGCCUUCGGGUUGUAAACCGCUGUCGGGAGUUAAGAAAUGCAAGGAUGUUAAUAGCGUUCUUGCUUGACUAAGGCUCCGGAGGAAGCCACGGCUAACUCUGUGCCAGCAGCCGCGGUAAUACAGAGGCGGCAAGCGUUGUUCGGAAUUAUUGGGCGUAAAGAGCACGUAGGCGGCUGUGUAAGUCGGUUGUGAAAGCCUUCCGCUCAACGGAAGAACGGCAUCCGAUACUGCAUGGUCUUGAGUGUGGGAGGGGAGAGUGGAACUUCUGGUGGAGCGGUGAAAUGCGUAGAUAUCAGAAGGAACACCGGCGGCGAAGGCGACUCUCUGGUCCAUAACUGACGCUGAGUGUGCGAAAGCUAGGGGAGCAAACGGGAUUAGAUACCCAAGUAGUCCCUGAGCGGGCUGGCAAGGCGCAU